CUUGGUCAUUUAGAGGAAGUAAAAGUCGUAACAAGGUUUCCGUAGGUGAACCUGCGGAAGGAUCAUUCAUAAUCAAAGUGUUUUUAUGGCACUUUUAAAAAAAAUCCAUAUCCACCUUGUGUGCAAUGUCAUCUCACUGGAGGCCAGCUGGCUGUCAAAAGCCCGUUUGGUCGCCUUUGGGAUUUAUAUCUACUCAGAACUUUAGUGAUUUUGUCUGAAAAAUAUUAUGAAUAACUUAAUUCAAAAUACAACUUUCAACAACGGAUCUCUUGGCUCUCGCAUCGAUGAAGAACGCAGCGAAAUGCGAUACGUAAUGUGAAUUGCAGAAUUCAGUGAAUCAUCGAAUCUUUGAACGCAUAUUGCGCUCUCUGGUAUUCCGGAGAGCAUGCUUGUUUGAGUAUCAGUAAACACCUCAACUCCCUUUUUUUCUUUUUUGAAAUGAGGGAGCUGGACUUGAGUGAUCCCAACACUUUUCUUCACUGAAAAGUGGCGGGUCACUUGAAAUGCAGGUGCAGCUGGACUUUUCUCUGAGCUAUAAGCAUAUCUAUUUAGUCUGCCUAAAAAACAGAUUAUUACCUUUGCUGCAGCUAACAUAAAGGAGAUGAGUUCUUGUGCUGACUGAUGCAGGAUUCACAGAGACAGCUUCGCGGCUGACUUUGUAAACUCGAUCUCAAAUCAAGUAAGACUACCCGCUGAACUUAAGCAUAUCAAUAAGCGGAGGAAAAGAAACUAACAAGGAUUCCCCUAGUAACGGCGAGUGAAGCAGGAUGAGCUCAAAUUUAAAAUCUGGCUGGUUUACUAGUCCGAAUUGUAGUUUAAAGAAGCGUUUUCGGUGGCAGCCUGGGUAUAAAUCCUUUGGAACAGGGUAUCAUAGAGGGUGAGAAUCCCGUCUUUGACUCAGUGCAUGCUACUAUGUGAUACGUUUUCAARDUGUCGAGUUGUUUGGGAAU
rnacentral:sRNA from 1 species